CACAGGCCUGCUCACAUCGUCUCGUUGCGGGCUCUUCCUCCCGGAGCUCUCGUCGCUCGUCGGUGCGGCUGCGGCCGGCUUGUUCCGCCGGCGAACUCUUUCGAGACGCCGCUUCCCUUCUCCCGGCGCUGGUUUUUCUCUCGGGAAGUCUUCAGUACCAUCCUGCCAGCAUGGUCUCCCAGUGCAUCAGCCACCGCAGACGACCCCUGCUCCUGCUGCCUGGUCAGGAGGCGCGCGGAGGCUAUUUCUCCUAUCCUACUUCACGCAUUGAGCCGCGCAGGAGGUCAAAAAAGGAGGGCGUUUGGGCAUCAUUCUGGGCUUCUGGCCAAGGAUACGGGACCAGCCGGUGGCUUAUCAUAGUGAAUCAAUUUAUUCUGUGUAUCAAGAAUGCAAUCAGCUGACAACCUAGUUUGGCAGAAUGUGAGAAAUUAAAAAAACAUAGUGGCCUACGGGUUUGAUUUGUUCUCCAAGUACUUACCCAAUAAUCUCCAUCAACCUGAGCCACAUUAUUCGACUGUUACAAGCCCACAGUUGAGUUGACACGCAAGCCGAAAUACAGCAGCAAUGAAAAGAGUUUCUGAAAGGUUCUUGGACACAAGGCACAGUACUUAUAGAGGAGGGAAAAGAAGAGGCUCGUUCGUUUUGCCCUCGUUCCUUCUAGAUUCACUCCCAGGAGCUCGUUUCUUCUGAAUUCAUUUCAGGAGAUCAAAUAUAAUACAAAUUGUCACAAGAUUCUAGGUUGGAAUUAAUCCCGGCGUCCAUUCCAUUCCAUGUGAAACGAAGAGGCCAUUAGGGAUCGAGUCAGAAACCUCAGAGCAACUGCAGCCUCUUGUCAAAUUCACCGGCGUCACAUGUAUUGUCGCCUUCAAUUGUCAUACGCACCGGCGAUGUUUGCUGUCGACUGUCGAGCGCAAGAGUUGUUGUGUUAA